GUGCUCGCUUCGGUAGCACAUACACUGAAACUGGAACGAUACAGAGAUUAGCAUGGCCCCUGUGUAAGGAUGACAGAAAUUAAUGAAGCCUUCCUUGUUUGU